ACCAUGAGGGAUAGCUCAGUUGGUAGAGCAUAGGACUCUUAGUCUCAGGGCUGUGGGUUUGAGCUUCACCUUGGGUG